UGCAAAAAAAUGGCAGCAGGCUUGAUGUGCUGGAUUUGAAAUAUUUAUUGUACUGCUAGAUCAAUCCAAGACCAAACAGUUUUACAGAUAACUUUGGCCAGUAAUUAUAUGCAAUACUAUACACAUAUGGAUCUUCUGUUAAGAAUAAUCGAGAUUGCACACAUACGUUAAGGAAAAACAGAGCAACAAGCUCCCCUCCUUUCCUCCCUCAAACACUGGACCACUUCCUUUGCAGGGCAAGCUGUUAAAAAUUAAAGCACUUCUCUGAAAUCAUAAUACUUUCUAUAACAUAUGUGAGAAUGCAGAAAGCAGUUUGGAAGAGACAGAAACCUAGAGGGGCUGGAAGAGAGCCAAAAUGAUAAAGAACAAUGAGUGGGCUCACUGGUCUGUUGAUCUUGGAUUCUCCCCAAGUAUCAUUUAUUUCUGUGAGCUGCCGUUUCUUGUCUUUUAUUUUUCGUCUUCCUCACACCCUAUUUCUUUCUUACAAGACAAGGACAAGAGAAAAAGAGUAAGGCGGUGCAGUGAUUUUUAGAGGAUAACUGGGAAUGAAAAAAAUGAGGUGUUUAUUAGUACAGGAAAUUGGUUUACAGCUUCAUAAAUUUAAAAUAGGCAUAUCAUAUUGCGCAGAUUAUGAAGUGUUAGACUGCUCUACUCAGAGAACUGGACAACCUGCUUUGUAAUGCAAAAUAUACAAGUGCAGUGCAGGUUUACUGGACAGUUAGAGACUACUUAAAUCCACUGGACAUAUACAGAGUCAGGGACAAGCUGAGGUUGAAGGGGGCCUCUGGAGAUCUGGUCUGGCCUCCCCCUGCUCAAGGUCAGAUCAACCACAGCAGGCUGCUCAGGGUCUCGUCCACCAGUUUGAAAUGUCUCCAAGUCCAUGUUGCUAAAUGAGAUGCACUCAAAGAUGCUGACAGAACUACCUGAUGCCACUGCAAGGAUGCCAUUAUCUAUGAAAAGUCAUGACAGUUGGGGACUAGAAAAGGUAAAUGUUAUGCCCAUUUUAAAACAGAUGAGGACGGUCCAAGGAACUGCUGGCUGAAAAGCCUCAAUUCAGUCUCCCUAGCAAGGACUCCUUCCAGAUACAUAAAGAAACAAAAGAAUGAUUCAUAAUAUUCUUAAAAACCUAAAGGGGAGCUAUAGAGAUUUAUGUUCAGAUUCCUGUAAUAUUUUUCAGCAAAACAGCAAGAAGCAACAGACAUCAAUUGUACUAAAAGAAAGCCCAUAUAUUCAGGGAACAUUUUUCCAUAAUACAGGUGGUUAAAAUGCUGGAACAGAUUUUCAAGGAAUGUUGUAGAAUAAUUAUACUUGACAAUACUCAGAUCUGACUUGACAAAACUCUGAUGUACGUUUUCAGGUGACCCUGCUCCAACGCAUCAUACAAGUAUUACUGUCUGGCACACUGGCUGUCUCCCUUAUCAUUGUGAAGGCAAGUUACAAAAUGGUUCUCAAAAAGGGCUUCUUCACAAAAGGAAUGUCUGUUAAUUUACUUCCACAUAUUUAAGUAAUUCAGUAACAGCAGAGUAUCCAUCUUCACUUGACAAGGAACUCACGUUUUUCAGGCAGAAAACCAGUCAGAGAAAAUAUUUUAAAAGGUGGCAAGAAUUAAAAACUGAAUUGAAGCCUCAUGAGUUGCAGAUGAGACUUCUCAUAUUUUAGUAAUUUUUCUUCUGUUUCUAGCUGGACUGAAGUCCCAGCCGGAAGUGUACACAGUCUAGUGCAUGAGUAAUCACAGAAUCAUUUAGUUUGGAAAAGUCCCUCAAGGUCAUGAAGUCCAUCAGGAAAUGUACCUUCUAAUAAAAUUAUAAAAGUACUAAGUGCAGUCUUAAUCUUAUUCCCAUUGCAAUCCUAACUAUUAUUUGGCAUAGUAAAACCCCCCUUCAAAACAUCAUUGCAGAAGCUUAAAUUUGCAAUACUGUUCAAAAGAAGCAAUUAGCUACUUAUUUUUAAGUUGAUGACUAUCAGUGACCUGUGAGAAUUACAACCAAGAUCAAUAUAUGCAGUAAACAUUGUCAAUUUGAAUCUUCCAGCCUGCAAUAAAGGAGAUGCUGCCAUUUUCCAUGAUGAAGUAUCUUCCACUUCUAAACUGUAAUCAGCAGGAAUCCCACCUCUGGUAUCACAAUAGCACUCCAUGCCGAUCAUCACCAGAGCCCAGUGUUCAAUUCAGAGGCAAUGUCAAAAUGAGCAAGAGAAGAGAAGGAAAGAGAAAGAGAAGAGAAACCAGCCUGGAUUGAUUUAAAGAGCGGGUAAUCUUUUAAAUCUCCAGAUUAAUAAAGAAAUAAAUAAAUCUGCUCCAGGGGAGCAAUUGUACUUUUGUGCAUGAAUCUAUAAAAAAACCUCCUCUGAAUUCUUUACUUUGAAAGCUUAGGUAUGUUCUAUUAAAUUCAUUCUGGACCUUCAAAAAGAAAGUUGACAAUAGAUAGAAGCGUAGUCUUUUGCUAUGGAAAACAGCCUUUCUUCCAAACUGUAGUAAGUUUGAUCUCACUCUUUUUAUGUAAUUUAAUCAUAUGCUUAAUUGGCAGAGGAUUGAUUCAAAACUCUACUUGGUACUUAGCAUUUGUCCUAACAAAUGUCUCCCCACCCAGAUCAACCCAAGGCUGUCUGGCCAGGAGCAACUCGGCCACAGCAACAUGCCCUGCACGCAAUUUCCAGAGGGAGCAGCAAGCCACAGCUGGCUGAAAGGCAGUCUUAGUCCCCCACUUUAGCUGUAGUCGUGGCAUUUUUCACAUCUAGAACUAAAACUGUUUGGCCCUCCUGAUAAUUGAUAUCGGUGACAAAUUUUAACAAUCCAAACUAAAAUAACUUGAAUCAUGACUUGAGUCAUGAUCAGCACAGAUAUUAUUACUGAUCAAGCAGUCUCAAGCUUAAACUUAGUGACUCAGCUGCAUCUUAACAAUAUGUGUUCUAAAGAAUAUGCAAAGUGUUAAGUCAACAUUAGAUGAAAGUAGCUGGGCAGAUAGAAAGGCAUUCAUACAAAGAGACCUCACUCAAAAAUGUAGAUGGAUAUCAUAAGCAGAAAGUAUUUAAAAUAUACAUGACAGGAGAGUUUGGAGAAAUAACUGGACAAAAGGGAUACAAUCUUCUAGCUGUAAAAUAUCAUUAAACAAUUAGGGUUCUCCCCAGCUGUGGUCCAAAACUUAAGUUCCUCUCCUCUGGAAGUGAUCAUUCAUUAUGGCUCUAGGUUUACUUUUAUUUCUAAGAACAAGGAAGGAUACCUAAAUAAGUGGGAACUAAAACAUAUUUUUUCUGAUGAGUCUAAUAAGGCAGUUCAGUUUAGUGAUAUAAGUUUUUAAUGUUUUCUUAUAGUCAGUCUCAAGUUUAAGUUAUUGGAAUUUGCAACUACAAGCUUUGUGCUCUGGAAGUAUGCUAUUUAUACGGAGGGAAAAAUCUGUGAUCCUGCUGCACUCAGACUGUUGAUGUUUUACAUAUUUUCCAAAUGCACAACUAAAGUUCUGAAUUUCUCAUAAUAUCAUAGUAUCCAUGUGGAAACUUUCAAGUGAGAGAAAUUUCACACUAACAGAAUUCAACUGUUUUUGUUCUCAUGAAAAUCAGUGUACAUGGCUAAAUUCAUGAAACUGAAAUGAUUAACUAAAGCUUACAGUGUCUACCAGAGUAUUAGAUUUCCAUCAUGAUCAUGCAAGAGAAACAGUUUCUAGAUUUCAGAGUCAUAGUGUAAAAAGGAUGUGUAUGCUGUUAGGUACUGUUGCAGAGAGCAGUUCUGCAUUGACUAUAGCAAUGACAUGAUCAGCAAAAGAUUUAAAUACUCGAAGUAAAAUUCACAUGGCACUUGCAAAAGGAAAACUGCAGAAAUAUACUCCCAUUUUUUAUAGUUUCUUAGAUUCAUUAAUUUACUUCCUGAUCUUGACCACUGUGCUUGCAAAAGCAAGAUGUAGUGUGCAUUUAUGCAUACCUUGAUGUGUGUUAAUUGUCACUAUACACAGCAAAGUAUGACAUUUCAGGCAUAUGAUCCUAAAUCUGCUGAAAUCAAACUAGCAAUUUUUAUUUCUCUCCAAAUUAUUUGAAUUGGUCCAGAUCAGAAAAAAAGUGAUGCAUGGUGUAUCCCCGAGUGAAGCAACAUGAGUCAAUUCAGUGCCACAAUUUGUGCUUGGCAACAACUUUGGAAAGUGAUUGGCAGCUGCCUUUGGUAGGUGUAAAUGAAAGGAUAGAAGAGCUGUUUACUGUGGAAAAAAACCUUGUAUUUUAUAUGGGGCUCAAUAGCAAAGAAACAGGUUUUUAGAAAUGACAUUUUUGUGGUAGCACCCAAUAAGUACCUGUAUAUGGAUAUCACUGGUAUAGCCAGCCUAAAAAGUCAUCAUUUGGAUGAAUCACUUGGCCAAGCGCUAAUGUGAAUAGAAAAGACAGUUUGCUAUCUUGGACUGAACUGGGAUAGACAUAAUCACAGUGUAGGUGAGAGAUGGCAGCAAACCAUUAACGUACAGAGGAUUAAAGCAUGAGAUGGCAAAGAAUAAAUGUGGACUACAACAUUUGUUUGGUAAGCUAGACAUGCAAUUAGAGGAAGCAGAAAUUUAAGAGUCAAUGAAACCUAAAGAGAAGGCAGGCCUGUCUGCUGUGAUAAGUUAGUCAUUUAGGACUACAACAGGUGUUACUACAGUAAUUAGAAUAUACUGAGUUAUCUGAUUGGAAUUCUUGCAUGAUGAGAGCAUUGCCAACUGCUUUUGAUACUGACUGACGGCAGCAGUAACAGGCCAAAAACACCUGUUCUGAAAUCUUUUUACCAGCAAGAAGAGAAGAUGCUUUUCAGUGGUUUUAUUUUUCAUCACUUCCCCUUUUUUGUUCUAGCCUCCGAAGUCUUUCAUAAACAAAUUAACAGUAAUGAUAUUUUAAAGGGUGAGUUGUGCCAGAUGUUACUUGAGAUCUCUCAAAAAAGAGGUACCAUACCAUUCUAUUUUUCAUUUAUGAACUUCCCUCUAUUAUUAUAUGUGCAAACAAAUUUUGGGUUUACUUUGUAAGUCUUUAAAGCUAUAUAUUAUUAUAUUCUGAUGUUUGUCAUAAGCACUAGCAAAGUUUUUUGCUGUCCAGUCUCUCUCUACUGGAGUUUCAGCUCACUUGAAAUGAAAAAGAUGAUUUGUUGUAGAUCAAUAUUCCCUUAAGAUGUAAACACAUCAGCUCUUAGAAGUGAAGCAAGAGUACCGGCCAGUACUCUAAUGUUAGAUCUCUAUGGAUAUCUCAGGGGCGGCAGAAAUUGUAAUGAGGAAUCAAUAACUUGAACAAAUAUCUCUUAGGCCUGAAGGAACCUCUUAGAGUAUGUUUGUGUCUUUGUAUAACCGGAGCUGGCUUUCUGUAAAUGAGAUGCAAAAUGGAGGAAUUCAGGAAAUUCAUAUGGUAGUUUCAAUGCCGCACAGGAAUGCGAGUUUGAUCCCAGAGGUGAGAAUGUGCUGUCAGUAAUGAUAUUCUUCCUGCCUAAAUUUCUGCUGGAGAAAGUACUCUCUUUCACUCAUCCAUCUUAGCUGAUAUACGUUGCUUCCUUUUGCUGUUCAAGAGGAUGCUCUAUGUCACUCUUGGUAUGUCUGUUAUACAGUGUUUUAUGGUGAAAUGAGCAGUUUCAAGUCUACAAAUUAUGCUGAGUUUUUGCUCUCUCCCAUGGUGUCCUUGGAUGUGAACAAGCUGAGCUUUCUUGUGUUCAUUUAAUAGACUAAAAAAAAAAAAAGUCAGGAUUGUGCUGCUGGAUCAUUACAGCCACCCUUUUGCCUCUGAGGGCACAAGAGAAUAUAUUUAUAUAUGUAUGAGGGUCUAUUUCUUCUAUUACCUUAAACUGAAGUGCUCUGGGAUGCGUGUCAGACAUUUUGCCAGGAUGGAGUUUCAGGGCAAGCUGAAAAUCUCUGCAGACGAAUGCUGAGCAUGCGUAUCUGUGAGGCAAGCAGGGAUCCUUUUGUAUAUAUUAAUGAUCUGAGAUGUGCAGAAAGUCUGCAAUUGGCUUGAUUUUCAAACAAUGCAAGAAAACUUCAGAUGCUGCAUAUUGGGUUUUCUUUACAGUAAGGACCUUUUUCCUUUGUUUUGUGAAUGACCUUCCCAUUUAUAGAGUUCCUCUCUGUUCGCUCAAAGCUAUUGUUUUUCUGUGUGUUAAUUAAAACCCAGAUUAAGUAUAUAGAAGCACACUCAAGCUUCUGCGCACGCCUGGCUGAAAACAGAGCUGUAUGAACAGAAACGCUCUAGCAGAGGUGCGAGUUUUGUCAGUGGAGUAGAAUGCCUGAAUAUGAAAGUCAUUAUUGGAAGCAGAGUGACAUUUAAAUUAUGCCGCUGUUACUCCUACUGGCUUCCGAUGAUAUAUUUUCAGAAAGAAAAUUAAACAAGUUACAAGGCACUUAAGUAUAAUGCUUGAAAAUGGUAUCUUAAUGUGGUUAUUAAAUGAAAUGUUAGCCCCGUGUAUCUGUAUGAUUUCACCAUGAAUGUGGCAUUCAAAUCUGACAGUGUGCUUCCUCAAGUCUUUACUGGCACUAACUGGUAUCUUAUAAACGCUGGCUUUGUGCCAUUUCUGUUAUACUCAUUGUACCCACAGAAUAGAAUCAGUCAUGUAGAGAGGGAAACAUCUGGUCAAAAAUAAUGAAAAUAAAACCAUAAGCUGCCAACUUGCACUGUCAUAUGUAAAAUACAGCAAUGAAUCACAAACAAGUACAAAACUAACAAGGAAAAAAGGCCAGUGAUAAAGGUGAACCAACUGUAAUGCCAUGGCCCUCCGAAGAAAGUCAUUUGCUGAUGGAUAGAGGAGUAGAGAAGAAACAGCUUUAGACAAGUGAAGACCAAUCCUUCCUUUUGAAAAGAAAGCUUUAUCCUUCUUGUCUGAGGCCCCAUUUAAAAAAAAAAAUAUAUCUAUGGGGUUAACUUCAUCAGCUCCACUAACUGCACUCCAGUGAGAGAUAAGAAGAUAAUUAAAAUUACCACCAUGCUUAAUCAACUUGCCAGCAUAGGGAUACUCUUGAAUUGGGACACAAUUAAAUUAAGCUUAACUCCAAAUAUAUACAAGAAGUAGACAUCUGGCAAAGUCUAGCUGAAAAAGCACAAAGCUGCAUUAUGACAAUCUCCAAGGACAAAGGAAAUAGAAAGUGAAAGGGUAUCAAAGAGCAAGACUUCUGCCAAGUCCUUUAAUCUUUGUUUUGUAAUGCACACAACCAAUCACAAAAAAUACUUAACUAGUGAUUUCACUCACUUAUUGCUAAAUCUUUAAACUAUUGAUUUCACUAGUUUACCCACAGCAUACAUAUAUAUGAAAACAUAUGCAUCUGUGCUAGUGUUCCUUAUUUUUUAAUUUUUCAGUAAGCAUGACUGUUGAAUUUUAAAACAAUUUACAACUGCAAUUAAAAUGUCUGAAAAUAAUAUAAAAGGAAGCAGAAUUAGCUAAUCACAGACAAAAUCAAGGCCCUCCUGGCCUUGAAAUCUAUAUUUCCAUGAAAGAAAGUCUUUGAAACUUUGUUGAAUCUAAGGAUAUUAAUAAGCAGCAUUACAGUUUUAUCCUACAAAUGACCAAAUAAUUAUUUUUUUGUAAUAUGUCUGGAAGAUAUAUAGCAGAAUCACUACUACUUGUACUGAAACAGAAAGUUGAGAGGAUGGUCUGAGCUAGUCUCAGACAGAUUAUAUAUUGCAAGUUCUUGAUUCCUAAUCUUGAGGAAUCAAGUGUCUGAGCAUACACUAAAAGCUAUCUGAAGAUGAGAAGGCUUCCAUUCAGAUCUGGCCUGAUGAAAACAGAGUGACUAGCAAUUGUGCUCUCACAUUCUGAUGAGUCAGAACACUUUAAAAUAGUUUAGUGUAGAAGUAAAUAAAUAUCUUAUUUUCCUCUACAAUAGGAACCUUGAAGAAGCUUUUAUGUUGUGAAGCUCAUGCUUCAGAAGCACAUCAAGAAGUUAAGUCAUUCACCAAGAGCUGAAACCUAGGAUCUGUCAAGGGCUUUCUAUUUUAAAUGACAUUUAUCUUCAUCUUGCAAAAGUAUCACCACAUUCCUUUUAUUUAUCUGUGUGAAGAAAGGCAAUAAUUUUUUCUUGUCCAACCUGUGGACUUAGUAAUUUCAUUAGCUUUUGUUUUGUUUUCUAUGCUGCUUCUUUGAAAUUGUUGUUUCAUACAUUGCAGAAGGUGGCAGGAGGUUGUAGAAGUAUAGAGGGUGAUUGAACAAAUGAAUUUUUUAUUUAUUCCUUAGUGAGAUUCAUCUGAAUGCUUUGGAAUUGCACAAGUGCUCCUGAAUUCCCAAGUCUUUCUGUAUGGCUCGUUGCAGCCUGACCACAGUGGCCAAGGAGCAGAAUAUAAAUAGAGAGCUUCCUUGUACUGGGACCUAGUGAUCUCACUAUUGUUUUCUAUUUUACAUGUUAAAUUCAAAUAUUACAAAAUAGUUCAGUGUACCAGAUAACAGAUUUAAGCCCAAAUAUAUGAUGUCUUCCCUAUAGCAGCAAUCAGUCCUUUCUCAAGUCAUUCAUUUGAUACUCAAAUUAAAAGGGGGAAUUUAUACUUAAAUUCCUACCUACACUCCUGAAUGAAAUGUAUCAGAAUCCACAAUUUAUGGGAUUUAACUAGACUGCCAUCCUGUAUUGGAACUGCUAAGUCAUGCCCUGAAGCAGUAAUUGAGCACCUGAUAGGAAGGCAGGGCCAACCCAGGGGAGCUCAGGUGUAUGCAAUGCAUCUGAGUGACUGGAAGGGGUGGAGCCAGGAUCCACCCCUUCCCAGACCUUAUUUAAGGGUUGGCAGUGGAGGCAAGGGCAUCUCGCUGAAGAUUUCUGCUAUUAUGAGGCAUUUCAAAAGUAAGUAGAUUUGUUCUUUUGUUUUUGCGCCCAUGGCUGCUGUGUUUGGACUUGUCCUCAUUUGCUGCAGCCAAAGACUUUGGCACUGUGCUAUUAUUGCUAUACUUUCCAUUAUAUUAUAGGUUAUGCAUGCUGUGCUUAAUCUAAUAGUCUUUUUUGCUAUGGUCUUUUCUACUACAAUAUCCAAAUGUAUAGCAGGAGACAAAUGUUCUUCUAAUAAGUUUUCCUGGAUGGACAGCAGUACUGUGGGUUGACAGAUAGGAGAAGUUGUACCAGAGCUGGGUUUAGGGAACUGCUACAGGUCCUGUACCUCAAGCUAGAGAGUGGAAACUGGAAUGUAGAAAGCUCUAGCCAGCUUGGAUGGAAGCUCUAGAACUAAGUAGGAAAUGAGGCUCUUGAUAUAGAUGCAUGAUAAAGUUUGUAUAUGGAUGCAAACAGGAGCCUCUGAAACAUGGGUUCUGCAUCUCGGCAUGAGCUGAUUUUAAUUUAAUUUCAUAGGAAAGAGAGAGUUACACUGACCAUCUUCAGCUGAGGCUAGCAGCUACUCUAAAUAGAAGAAAACACCAAUAUCCAAGGACCUUUGUCUUUAUAAAAAGCCUCAGCUCAUCAGAUUCUGUUUAUGAAGACAGCGAGAACCAUAAAGAAAAGAGAGCCCAGCUUUUAUAGAAAGCAUAAGGAACUGGAGUCCAAAAGGAAGCAUAUGCAGAGAGCCAUUUAAGAUACCCAUUUGGAAACCUGAUAUCAGCUAUAUCUUAAAUAACACCUCUUUCUGUGGACUUAAGGCUCCAAAAAGGUGGAAAGUGUAUUCAUCUGGAGCACAUACUGUUGAACAAAUGGUGGUCAGACAGCUCUCUGAGUUUUUACAGAAGGCAAAGACACUUUAAAAUUCACAGGUUCUCCAAUUCCUGCUGAAGGAGCACAGCGUGAUUUUUUUGAUACUCAGUCAGUAGUGUCUGACAACAAUAAAGGUUUGCAUGUCUCUAAAAACUGCAGGUAAUAUUGCUUUUCUGAGGUCUAUACUUCAUUAUACUAACAUUAAAUUUAGUUCUUGCUUACUAGCAGGUGCUAUUUAUACCACAAGAGUAUAAGGGAUAUAAUACAGGAUAUAGAUAUAAGGGAUAUAUGUUAUUAUACAAUAUAGGAGAUACAAUAUAGAGGGAGCUUGGUUACUAUUCUACACCAGAGUAAAUCUCACUCACUGUAAAUCCCCAAAUGUUCAAUCAUUUUCCUAAAGCUUCAUUUUCUUAUGUUCAGUGCAUCCAGAAGCACUUUCUAUAUUAAGUCCUUGAAAAUAUGGAAGCUUUACAGCAAGAUAGAUACUGAAAAUGACAUGUAACUUAGGUUAUCAUUUUCCUAGUAAAAUCAAUGCUUCUAGAAUGCUGGAUCCUAGAGUUUUGCAAUUUUGCAUUGAUCUCAUUUGCCCUCUUUCCCUUGAGAGCCUUUCUGAAAUAUUGCUGUUGAGUAACAUGCUUGCUAGUAUGAAGAGAAUAGAGAAGGAGAAACCUUUGCUGGUUGAGUAAAAUGCAGAAUGACACAAAACAUCCAAUUCAGCCUCCUUUAGGGUGUUUAAGACACAGAACUCAUUUUUCUGGAUGAAAAGCAGACAGUGACACUGCCAGCAGCAACUGUGUCAGCUCAGGUUCUCCCAGCAGGAGGGACAUACAGGGUGGCUGGAGUGGGAAACGUAACAGAUGCCACAAAUGGAAGCGCUCAUUUAGAUCCCCCAUUUAACUAGAUAAAAUGAGAUGUGGGAAAGUUAGCAGUGACUCUUCAAAAUAGGACACAUGCAACUGUUCACUAACGAAAAGUAUAUAACUAAUUAAUAAGAUCUCUUUAAAUAAGCUUGCAUCCAAAGUGUCCAUAUCUAGAUAUAAAUGAAUAGUGAAUGGCUUGAUUUAUUAUCUUCCUUGCAAAAACAUUGUGAGAAAAAUAUGUGAGAACAAAAGGGUAAUGAGUCAAGUAGGGAAACUGUUCUCCUCCAUCCAGGAUACUUUAAUAAAUUACAUAAUUUCAUUAUGUCAUAUUUAACUUCUUUCAAAAACAUUUCUAUUGUGUC